rnacentral:rRNA from 1 species
CAAUAGCGUAUAUUAAUGUUGUUGCAGUUAAAAAGCUCGUAGUUGAAAAUUGAAUAUUAAAAUAAGUUUGGUCUACAUAAUUUUAUGUAUGACUACUUAUUUUGUAUUCUUCCUACUAGAUACUCGAUAUUGUUCUUAAUUGAAUGAUAUAGUAUUCUUUCGGGAAUACCAAUACAUGUAUGUGUAUUGGAGUUCUAGUUCAUUUACUUUGAGAAAAUUAGAGUGUUUAAAGCAGCCUCUUUGGGCUCUGAAUACAUUAGCAUGGGAUAAUAAAAUAGGAUUUAAUCUAUACAUUUGUUGGUUUGAGUAGAUUAAAUAAUGAUUAGUAGGAACAGUUGGGGGUAUUUAUAUUGGAUGGUUAGCGGUGAAAUGCAUUGAUCCAUUCAAGAUAAACUAAAGCGAAAGCAUCUACCAAGGAUGUUUUCAUUAA